GGCUGUACCUGGAAGUGGAAGCGGGUGGGUGACACUAUAAGGAAGACAAGAAAAAUGGAGACAUGGGUCCAGGAGAAGAAGAGGAAGGCAGCAAGGGAACCAUUUAAAAAUCUCUUCCCUUGGCCCACUCCAGCCUUGGUACACCCCUGAUUUUUAACACUCAAUACUCAGACCAAUAAUUCAAAAAUGACAUCAUGCCCAAGAGAAGCAGAAGAUCUUUUUCAAAUUCAAAUUUGCUGUGAUUCAGAUUUACUAGGGCUGAAAACAGCUGUGUUUCUCAAACUUCUGACAACUGAAGCACACAUUUUUCAGAAUUAAAAUUGGAGACACAAUUCACUUUUAUAUUCACAGAUGACUUACUUUUAAAGUGUGUAAAGUUAAAGAUUAUCUAUUUCCAGAUGAGACCUAUGUUUCUGCAUGAGUUAUAGAACUGGACUAACUGGAAGGAAGCAACACCAAAGCAGUGAAUAAUGCAGAGAUAAAUUUUUAUUAUCACUAUGUUUUCAAUUUUGUCAAAAUUUUUAAACUAAUUCUAAUUUCAGCCUAUUUUAAUUAUAUACAAUCAGUUUAUUGUUAUAUAACUGUAAUCUUUCUCUUCUGUUUUGGCUUGUGGCUGUAACAUUAAAGAACUUGAACAUUGGACAGUUUUCUAUGUUGUUGGCUACUUUGGUCUUAUAGACACCUAUAAUUGAUUGAUUGAUUGAUUGAUUU